UGGGGCGUCGCCAAGCGGUAAGGCAACGGGUUUUGGUCCCGCUAUUCGGAGGUUCGAAUCCUUCCGUCCCAG
rnacentral:tRNA from 3 species